rnacentral:rRNA from 1 species
GACGUAGGGGGGCGAGCGUUGUCCGGAAUUAUUGGGCGUAAAGCGCGCGUAGGCGGCUCGGAAAGUCGGAUGUGAAAUCCCCCAGGCUUAACCUGGGAACUGCAUCCGAUACUGGAUGGCUUGAAUCCGGGAGAGGGAUGCAGAAUUCCUGGUGUAGCGGUGAAAUGCGCAGAUAUCAGGAGGAACACCGGUGGCGAAGGCGGGUCUCUGGGCAACAACUGACGCUGGAGGAGCGAAAGCGUGGGGAGCGAACAGG